rnacentral:rRNA from 1 species
GACGGAGGAUGCAAGUGUUAUCCGGAAUCACUGGGCGUAAAGCGUCUGUAGGUGGUUUAAAAAGUCCACUGUUAAAAAUUGAAGCUUAACUUCAAAGAUGCCGUGGAAACUUUUAAACUUGAGUAUGGUAGGGGUAGAGGGAAUUUCCAGUGGAGCGGUGAAAUGCGUAGAUAUUGGAAAGACCACCAAUGGCGAAGGCACUCUACUGGGCCAUUACUGACACUGAGAGACGAAAGCUAGGGGGAGC